rnacentral:pre_miRNA from 12 species
CAGAAGAGCAGAAGCAUGGGUAGGCCACAGUGGCAGUGUGGUUAGCUGGUUGUUUAGUCACAGCAACAGCCAGUAACGCCACUGCCUCUGCGUCUUGCCUGAAGCAGCAAAAGAAAUCU